CUAUACGGAGUUACAAAGGACGACAUUAGACGAAUCAUCUGGAAAGAUGAAUCAAAGAAGGUAAUAAUCCUGUAGUCGAAAAUGUUGUCUCUCUUGAGUGGAUCCUGAGUACGACGGAGCACGUGAAAUUCCGUCGGAAUCUGGGAGGACCAUCUCCUAAGGCUAAAUACUCUCUAGUGACCGAUAGUGAACCAGUACCGUGAGGGAAAGGUGAAAAGCACCCCGGAAGGGGAGUGAAAUAGAACCUGAAACCGUGUGCUUACAAGUAGUCAGAGCCCGUUAAUGGGUGAUGGCGUGCCUUUUGUAGAAUGAACCGGCGAGUUACGAUUUGAUGCAAGGUUAAGCAGUAAAUGUGGAGCCGUAGCGAAAGCGAGUCUGAAUAGGGCGUUUAGUAUUUGGUCGUAGACCCGAAACCAGGUGAUCUACCCUUGGUCAGGUUGAAGUUCAGGUAACACUGAAUGGAGGACCGAACCGACUUACGUUGAAAAGUGAGCGGAUGAACUGAGGGUAGCGGAGAAAUUCCAAUCGAACCUGGAGAUAGCUGGUUCUCUCCGAAAUAGCUUUAGGGCUAGCCUCAAGUGAUGAUUAUUGGAGGUAGAGCACUGUUUGGACGAGGGGCCCCUCUCGGGUUACCGAAUUCAGACAAACUCCGAAUGCCAAUUAAUUUAACUUGGGAGUCAGAACAUGGGUGAUAAGGUCCGUGUUCGAAAGGGAAACAGCCCAGACCACCAGCUAAGGUCCCAAAAUAUAUGUUAAGUGGAAAAGGAUGUGGCGUUGCCCAGACAACUAGGAUGUUGGCUUAGAAGCAGCCAUCAUUUAAAGAGUGCGUAAUAGCUCACUAGUCGAGUGACACUGCGCCGAAAAUGUACCGGGGCUAAACAUAUUACCGAAGCUGUGGAUUGUCCUUUGGACAAUGGUAGGAGAGCGUUCUAAGGGCGUUGAAGCAUGAUCGUAAGGACAUGUGGAGCGCUUAGAAGUGAGAAUGCCGGUGUGAGUAGCGAAAGACGGGUGAGAAUCCCGUCCACCGAUUGACUAAGGUUUCCAGAGGAAGGCUCGUCCGCUCUGGGUUAGUCGGGUCCUAAGCUGAGGCCGACAGGCGUAGGCGAUGGAUAACAGGUUGAUAUUCCUGUACCACCUAUAAUCGUUUUA
rnacentral:rRNA from 1 species